CACAGAUGACUGAGUAGUACCGAGUAUACAGUGUCUAGCACGUCAUAAUAUGCGGUUGUCUACCUGCCGCCAUAUUAUUAUGUAUUAUGCUUCGUAUCUCUAAACUAAAGUUUUUGGACCGUUUAUCAGACUUAUUCCGUCGUUGUUGUUGUCCUUGUCUGUAGAACUUUAUCUCGUACCAAAAAAAAUCCUCCAAACAGUAUACAGUGAACGUUGUAAUUUUUUUUUCGUUAAUUGUACGUCACGAUACACUCGAGUCGUGUGAACUGUGAAAUUGAAAAAAGCUCAAUGACCUAGUUCAUCAACCUUGUCGACGACGCGUUAUCUGUUUUCGUGUGUGUUUCUGUAUCGUGCACCCCGCCCACCCUUUCCCGUGUAUUGGACAACAAUAUCUGGACGCUGACUCAAUCUCAACGAUCUGCAGUAUUUACGUUUGCUGUUGGAGGCAUUCGUUAUUCGUUUACUGGUUCUUCUCGGUCGAUCACUAUGGACUGCACCGAACGAGGUAAGACGUUUUGUGUCGUGCGACAUGAAUAUUUAUGACUAAAUAGUGGAAAGUCGUGAUACUAAAUCAUGACCUAUGUUAAUGUCUGAAGUUAUAACGAAAGUACGAAGGUAUUUUCACAUUGUCAACAAUGUCUAUGUUAAAAAGGAAAUGGAGGGAUCUAUUGAAUCCACAAUUUAUUGUAUGGUUGACAUAUAUUCCAACAUACCUGGUCAUUAAUCGCUAAUAUUCCGUGUAUUCCUCGACAAGCUAGAUUAUCAGUUAAAUGGAUUUCGAUGUUCCUCAUCAAAUUCGAUUAAUCUGAUUACUAAUCAGAUUGCUUCUCGAUGUAUCGGAUCAUCAAUUUCUUCAAUGAACAUAUAUUUUAUCGAUAAUAGAAUAUCUUAUAAUCAAUUAUACCAAUUACCAAAUAGGUAAUAUUCAUAGUAAUUAAUUUACACAGUCAGAUAUACCUAGACAAAGAGUUAUUAAUAAGUACAAGUAGUAACUUAUAUAAUGCUUAACUGAGGUCAGGUAUAUUUAAAUCUAAUUUGCAAUACAAUUAUAAUAUUUUGUCAAAAAGGUAAGUAAUUACCUAUUAGUAACUAUCUAAAUUUUGUAAGCACCUGUUUCCAAAUUUCUACCAUAGGUCUACGUACAAGGCU